rnacentral:rRNA from 1 species
UACGUAGGGGGCAAGCGUUGUCCGGAAUUACUGGGCGUAAAGCGCACGUAGGCGGAUUGUUAAGUCGGGGGUGAAAUCCUGGAGCUCAACUCCAGAACUGCCUUCGAUACUGGCGAUCUCGAGUCCGGGAGAGGUGAGUGGAACUCCGAGUGUAGAGGUGAAAUUCGUAGAUAUUCGGAAGAACACCAGUGGCGAAGGCGGCUCACUGGCCCGGUACUGACGCUGAAAUACGAAAGCGUGGGGAGCAAACAGG